GACGAACGCUGGCGGCGUGCCUAAUACAUGCAAGUCGAGCGGACUUUCAAGAAGCUUGCUUUUUGAAAGUUAGCGGCGGACGGGUGAAUAACACGUGGGCAACCUGCCUGUAAGACGGGGAUAACUCCGGGAAACCGGGGCUAAUACCGGAUAAUAUCUUUCUUCGCAUGAAGGAAGGUUGAAAGGCGGCGCAAGCUGCCGCUUGCAGAUGGGCCCGCGGCGCAUUAGCUAGUUGGUGAGGUAACGGCUCACCAAGGCGACGAUGCGUAGCCGACCUGAGAGGGUGAUCGGCCACACUGGGACUGAGACACGGCCCAGACUCCUACGGGAGGCAGCAGUAGGGAAUCUUCCGUAAUGGACGAAAGUCUGACGGAGCAACGCCGCGUGAGCGAAGAAGGUCUUCGGAUCGUAAAGCUCUGUUGUCAGGGAAGAACGAGUACCGUUCGAAUAGGGCGGUACCUUGACGGUACCUGACCAGAAAGCCACGGCUAACUACGUGCCAGCCGCCGCGGUAA
rnacentral:rRNA from 1 species